GGCAACCUCUCACAUCAUGUCUGCGUCUUUGAGCAUCUAAGACAUGUGCAUCAUAGUACAGGGCCUGCUCUUUCCCUUCCUGGAAGCAAAGAAUCAGAUCACCAGGGAGAACUGCAACACAUUCUGAUGAUUCACACGGCAGAGAUCGCUGUCUUACAUGCAUACGUACAUUUACCCAUUCAUCCUCCUCUGCUCCAAACCCCGCAAACCGAACCAAGACUUCCGGAUCACCAUUCUCCACAGAUCUAUGUGACAGGAAGCUUGCUACGUCAUACCAUGCACCAUCUCUUGCAGAUUUAGCUUCGAACUCCAUUUGAGUGUUAUCUGAAGCACUCCUGCCCACACUUUGCACUGCCACUGAUGGAGCAGGCAGAGGUUGAGGUACCUGGGGCAUUGUUCUCACU
rnacentral:misc_RNA from 1 species